GAUGAACGCUGGCGGCGUGCCUAAUACAUGCAAGUCGAGCGAACGGACGAGAAGCUUGCUUCUCUGAUGUUAGCGGCGGACGGGUGAGUAACACGUGUAUAACCUACCUAUAAGACUGGGAUAACUUCGGGAAACCGGAGCUAAUACCGGAUAAGAUUUUGAACCGCAUGGUUCAAAAGUAAAAGACGGUCUUGCUGUCACUAAUAGAUGGAUCCGCGCUGCAUUAGCUAGUUGGUAAGGUAACGGCUUACCAAGGCAACGAUGCAUAGCCGACCUGAGAGGGUGAUCGGCCACACUGGAACUGAGACACGGUCCAGACUCCUACGGGAGGCAGCAGUAGGGAAUCUUCCGCAAUGGGCGAAAGCCUGACGGAGCAACGCCGCGUGAGUGAUGAAGGUCUUCGGAUCGUAAAACUCUGUUAUUAGGGAAGAACAUAUGUGUAAGUAACUGUGCACAUCUUGACGGUACCUAAUCAGAAAGCCACGGCUAACUACGUG
rnacentral:rRNA from 1 species